rnacentral:rRNA from 1 species
GCCUGCAGUCGACGAUUCCUACGGGAGGCAGCAGUGGGGAAUAUUGCGCAAUGGGCGAAAGCCUGACGCAGCAACGCCGCGUGGACGAUGAAGGCCUUCGGGUUGUAAAGUCCUGUCAGGAGGGACGAAGUCUCGCUUGCGAGAUGACGGUACCUCCAGAGGAAGCCCCGGCUAAUUACGUGCCAGCAGCCGCGGUAAUACGUAGGGGGCAAGCGUUGUCCGGAUUUAUUGGGCGUAAAGAGCACGUAGGCGGUUUACCAGGUCAGGUGUGAAAACUUCGGGCUUAACCCGGAGCCUGCACUUGAAACCGGUAGACUAGAGUCUAGGAGAGGAGAGUGGAAUUCCCAGUGUAGCGGUGAAAUGCGCAGAUAUUGGGAAGAACACCGGUGGCGAAGGCGGCUCUCUGGACUGCGACUGACGCUGAGGUGCGAAAGCUAGGGUAGCAAACAGGAUUAGAUACCCUGGUAGUCCUAGCCGUAAACGAUGGGCACUAGGUGUGGGGAGUUAUCGACGCUCUCCGUGCCGUCGCUAACGCAUUAAGUGCCCCGCCUGGGGAGUACGGCCGCAAGGCUAAAACUCAAAGGAAUUGACGG